AAAAAAUUUAAAUGGUUACUUCCUCAUACCUGCAAUUCCGUAGCUGGGGAAGCAAAAAACAGAAAUUUGGUCUCUGGUAGUGGGUCCACUUCCACCCCAUUUCAGACUCUACAGACCAAGCUUGCCUGCAGCCUGUACCUCCAAAAUGUGGAGGUGGGGAGGUCUAAGAAAGAGGGGGAUCACUUGCAAAUAUAAGGAAAUCAGACGCACCCGGUGCUACAGAAAUGGGCCAGGAGAAAACUCAGCAUUUUGACUGGGAUUUUGUUCCAACCAAGCAACUCUCUUCUACUUUCGUUGUGUACGGUUGGCACCAGGUGGAGGACAAUCAUUGGCACAGUGCUCUUGGCUCCUCUCCAUCCUCUCACUCCCUCCGCACUGACUGAUGAAAACCAAAGGAAGAGGGACAAGAAAUUAAGACGUGUUUAUCUUAAGACGAGAGAGACAAAGUCAGAUCUCUUGAAGACAACCAUAUCUGCUUAAUGCCAUAUGCAAUAGAAAACUCUUCAAAGAACUACAGGGGGCCGGGCGCAGUGACUUAUGCCUGCAAUCCCAGCACUUUGGGAGGCUGAGGUGGGCAGAUCACUUGAGAUCAGGAGCUCAAGACCAGCCUGACCAACAUGGUGAAAUCUGUCUCUACUAAAAUACAAGAAUUAGCUGGGUGUGGUGGCUCACGCCUGUAAUCCCAGCUACUCGGGAGGCUGAGGCAGGAGAAUCGCUUGAACCUGGGAGGCAGAGGUUGCAGUGAGCCAAGAUCACACCACUGCACUCCAGUCUGGGGGACAGAGCAAGACUCUGUCUCAAAAAAUAAAUAAAUAAAUAAAUAAAAGAAAUAUAGGGGAACAACCCAGCAUCAGCCCACAUGAAACUAUUAGGUUAGCUGCUAUAACAAAUAAACCACCAAGUUUUAACAGCUUAACACCUUAAGAACUGAGCUAUCUACGUAACAGUCCAAAGCUGUUAUUUCUGAUUGGUGGGUAGUUUUGCCCAUAUGGUGAUUAAGGGACCUGUUCCCUCCACCCGUGGCUCACCAGCCCCUAGACCUCAAAGGUUUCCGCAUUCACUGGCAGACAGGAAAUGACAAUAGAAGAAGCCCAGCCUGUAUCUUAAAAGCCCUGACCCAGAAGUUAGUGGCAUUCCAUCUGGUCUCAUUCAGUUGGUGAGAAGAGUCUUAUGGCUACCCCUAGAGAGAAAAUAGAAGAUAAAGUCCCUGACUGGACAUCUCCUCCCAGCAACAACUCCACACUAUGCAAAGCAGAAUACAAACUUUCAGUGGAUUGACAUUCAUCUCUACCAAAGAGCUCUUUUCUAAUUCACAUGAAGGUGAUUUCCUCCUUGCUAAAGCCCUGGAAAUCUAAAUUGGAAAGAAAGUUAGAAAUCUACUGUGACAUGCUACAAAUGCAGAUGUGCCACAAACACCACAGAAUGGUCAUCCAGCCAGUGCCAGAUCAUCAUGAGAAAGUUUUGUUAGAAAAGUUUUCCUUUCAUAGUCCCAGGUGAGCCAUCUGUUGCAACCCAGGGUAAGUAUACGCAUGUACCUCAUCAGACCUCAGUCCAAAUAAAUGUAGCUGUCUGUAGUCCUCCUUUUUCCCCACUAAAUGCUCAUAGUUGUUCAAAUGUUCUUCAUAUACUAUGGUUUUCAGACUCUCCACCAUCAUGUCUUCUCUCCACUGCAAAGUGCAUCAUUUGUCAUGGUUCCCGAAGGAUUAAGACCCCUGCCAAAUGAAUACAAUACUCCAGACGCAUGACUGGAUAUCCCAUUUGGUGUCAUCUUUUCUAAGUUACACUAAUGGGGCUCACAGCUUUUCCUUCACCUUUGUUUUCUCCUUUUUCCUAGAUUUUAAUUUCUUUAUUCACACUUUCCAAACCAACUGAUAUCUUUAGCCUUAAUCUGUCUGCUCUCAUUGUUAUUUAAAUUCCUGCCAGUCACUUUCUGGCCCAUCACCAAAUUAACAUUCUUGCAAGGGCUGUUCAGAAAGUAAAUUUACAAGGUGUUUUUAGAAAACUGAUUUUAAGAGAUGGCAAGUAAUCCCUAUAAGUAUUUAAACAGCAGCUGAUUGCUAUGUUUCCACAUAAUCCAACAGAUUCACACAUUUUUUAGACCACAGGGCCAGCUUUUUAUGCCAGCUGAGUAAAAGUUGCAGGGUCUUUGGUUAUUAAAUCAACUUAAUAUCAUAUCAGUGAACACACGCUUUAUUGAGUCUCGGGGUUGUUGCAAAUAAUGUCUCCAAGAGACAGAAUGAGUUUUGCUUGAAACUGGGGCACUGAUACUUUCCCACUUCGAGUAUUGAUUUGUUUAGUGAUUUGUCCUCUGUGUGGUUCCAGGUCCUUAGGUUACAUCUCCUUAUUCACUGCUAUUCUACUUUCUCCCCAGAACUGGACGUGUCAUUCUAAUACAUUUUCAAUUAAAAAUGUCUUUGACAUAAAUUUAAACAAGUUAACUGUGAAAUUCUGCAGCAGACUCUACUUUUUUUCAUUUAAAAAAUGGAAACACAUGUUAUAAAAGAACAUUUAAUGACAUGGAAAAAUAUUCAAGAUAUAUUGGUAAAGGAAAAAAGCAGAUUUCUAAAGCACAAACACAAGAUGAAUCCAUAUUCGAAAAAUAGAAUACAGUAUGUGUGCACAUGUGCACAUAUAUGCUUGUAUAGGAAAAUCUGAGAAAGAUUUUCUUCAGGUUAUCAGGUCCUCUCUUUUACAUUUUCUAAAGAUCACUUUCGUCCUUCUUCUUUCUCAGCUAUAUUUUCUACAUUUUCUGUAAUGAACACUACAACUUUAAUAAAAACAAAACUUAAUGUUACUUAUCUUUAAUGUAAUAAAAAUGGAAGCAUAACUCUAAACAAUUAAACAUGAUACCACAUGUCCAGAAAAAGUCCUCUUUGUUUUGAGACAGAGGCUCAGUCUUCUUUUUUUUUUUUUUUUUGAGACAGAGUCUCGCUCUGUCACCCAGGCUGGAGUGCAGUGGUGCAAUCUCCGCUCACUACAAGCUCCGCCUCCCGGGUUCACACCAUUCUACUGCCUCAGCCUCCUGAGUAGAUGGGACUACAGGCACCCACUACCAUGCCUGGCUAAUGUUUUGUAUUUUUAGUACAGACAGGGUUUCACUGUGUUAGCGAGGAUGGUCUCGAUCUCCUGACCUCGUGAUCUGCCGGCCUUGGCCUCUGAAAGUGCUGGGAUUACAGGUUUGAGCCACCGCGCCUGGCCCUCACACUUCUUGCUCUGUCACCCAGGCUGGAGUGCAGUGGCACCAUCUCAGCUCACUGUAACCUCUGCUUCCUGGGUUCAAGUGAUUCUCCUUCCUCAGCCUCCAAAAUAGCUGGGACUACAGGCACACACCACUAUGCCUGGCUAAUUUUUUGUACUUUUAGUAGAGAUGGGUUUCACCAUGUUGGCCAGGCUGGUCUCAAACUCCUGACCUCAGGUAAUCCACCUGCCUCAGCCUCUCAAAAUGCUGGGAUUAUAGGCAUGAGCCACCAUGUCCAGCGAAAAAUUCCGUUUCUAUAGUCACGAUCCACAGUACUUUCUCUGUGCCUUUAGUGCCUAAAGAAACAUUGUUAUGGACUAAAUGUUUGUCUCCUCCCAAAGAUCCAACCCCCAGUGUGACUGUAUUUGGAGACAGAGCCUUUAUGAAGGUAAUUAAAGUUAAAAGAGGUCACGGGGUGGAGCCCUGAUCCAAUAGAUUUAGCGUCCUUGUAAGAAGAGACACGAAAGAGCAAGCUCUCUCUCCAUCUUGUGAGGACACAGUGAGAAGGUGGCCAUCUGCAAACCAGAAAGUAAGUGCUCCCUCACCAGGAACUGAACUGGCCUACACCUUGAUCUUGGACUUCCCAGCCUCCAGAACUGUGAGGAAAUACAUUUCGGUUGGUAAAUUUUUAUGGUAUUUUGUAAUAGCAGCCUGAUCUGACUAAUACAAACAUCAUGGCCCAACAAAAUUGUCUUUAUUACUGUGCAUUGGUAAUUAACCUCAUCGUUGAGCUUUUGAGCAAUUGCACCAUUGAUACCCCUGUUCACUGUUAUCAAGAUGUGGAAGAAGAGACAGUGCUUUUUCACUGACUUCCAAAUGUUCCAGAGCUACUUUUCCUUCUAGGCAUUUUUUAUUCUUCUCUACACCCUGCUGAUGACACUGCCUGUUCAUCUUUGGGGCCAAAGUGGUUCACACACACUCAGUCAAGAAUGCAGUAUGCACUUAGUAAAUAUGGACAGAGCUAAUGACACACACGUGGUGGGGAUGGCAGGGAAAUUUUUUGGUGCAUAAUUGACAUAGAGUCAGAAGUCAGAAAGGCAGAUGGAAAUAAAGAAAGGAGUGUGGAAGGGACUUGAUGAGAACAUCUUAAUCUAUGAAACCCAAAGAUAUUUGCUGUAGGCCUAGAAUGUAAAUUCAAAUUAAAUCAAGCACAACAACUCAAAGCAAAAACUCCUCAUAAACAAUCUCCCACUGACUUCAAAGGUAGAUUUGGGCCACAGGGCAGAGAGGAAAAGAGGUUAUGGAAUGUACCAGAAGCUUUGCAUUUGUCUACUGCAGAGUAGAAUUAAACCCUGGAGGUUACUGACAUCCCCCUGGGUCUUCGUGAUCCCAUAGGACAGGUUGGACAGUCCUCCACUGUCCAAAUGUUAGCGUCCCUCUGAAUGCUCAUUUUAAUUGGAAUCUCUGGGUACAUGCGCUCCUCUAGUUCAAGGGCUCUGGGUGCAUAAGUGGAAACAAAGCUUGCUACAGAACGUACCUCCCUCCCUCUUGGUUCAGGAACAUAUUUCAAAAUGCCACUUUAUUAGCAGCUAAACAAAAACACCUCUUCGACAGGGAUGAGGGAGCGUGGAGUAAACAUGUCAUCCCUACCUAUUGUUCUGCAGAGUCGAAAUUCUCCUAAGAUUGAUUAUAAAAGGCAGUUAUAGAGGAAACUGUUUGAGUCUGCUGAAUUAAAAACAAACAGUGAGGCAUUCAACGACGAACAGAUCUGAUGGAUUAAAAUGCACCGAAGAAAGACAUCUCAAGCGAUGCCUGAAUAGGCCAAGUCAGAAUGAGAGGAAAUUUGGCCUGCAAUUUCCAAUCAAGGGAAAACUGGCAAAGCAACAGAAUUUGAGGCUUCCUCAGAUUUACACUUUAUCUGCUAAUUAGCAUUAACAUGCGUGGUAGAGGUAUCUCACCAGCUUGUGGCACAAUAAAAAACGGAAUGUGUUAUCACCACAGAAUGUGUAAUUACUUUAAGCACUGGCUGAAAAUUGCAGGGUACUUCAUUUCAGAAUUUGUAUAUAUUUAUUGUUAGAGAUAAACUUGUUGAAGUAUAUCUAAUCUAAUUUUAUGUUAUAAUUCCUGUUUAAGAUAAUUUUAGUGUCAGCAAGCCAAGAACUGAAGUAAAUACUGCCGUAAAUUGUAAUACAUUAAAAUACCAGAGAAAUACUUCCAUUCAGCCGUGACUUGAUUUGCUUAUUGUUUAAGGACAAAAAAUAAAAAAUUCUCAGAUUACAUCAACAUUGGAAAUAUAUACUGUUGGGUUGCCCCUACCAUGCAGGCCAUGCAGCUGAUGAAGUUUGCUAACCUUGACUCGCCCAGUUCCCUGGAAGUGUGAAUCACUUUUAAAAGAAUUGUAGAUUUCCGUUUCCCUUAGGUAAGAUUUAUUAUUUUUGUAAAAAUCUCCUUAAAUUGCUCUGUAUGUUCCCACAAGGGAAAUGCAUUAGGACAGAUUAUUUGGCUUUAAAUCAUAACUAGGUUAAUAUUUGUUGUGAGUUUGAUUUAAGACCUUGUUUAAAUUCCUCCUUAAAUUGUUAAGCAAGACAAUUUGGGGCUAUGAAAAGGAAACUAUACUGUGUUUUUCAGUAAUAUGAUAUUAUGGCACAGACUACCAAAUCAUGCAAAAGCAAUUUCUGAUUUUUCUACUAAUAGGGGAUUAUAGCUAAAGCAUUGUCGGCAUACAGACUGUGUAUUCUUUUAGCAACCUUCUAUCAAGCCUGCAAAACUUGGAAAAAUGUGGAGAUAAUGCUGCCUCCGAGGAGGGAAUGCUGGAUCUAACACUAUUUUUGUUUGGUAACUAUCAAUUUCUCUGCCUUUUUAUGCCCUUGUUUCACCAGGAGAGAGAAGAGAGAGGGGGGAAAAAAGGAUAUACAAGGAUGCAUGGUUCACAAUGCCAAUGCCUGUAUUCAUAUAAUUUGUGUUAAUAAGAUGUAAAAACCUUCUUACGUUUUCUCCCAGUUGUCUGUCUACUGUUCCUCUGAGGAAGGCAUGAAAUUAAGGAUCCCAUUGGAUAGAUCUUAUUAUGAUUCAUCUGGAAAGAGCCCUAGGAUUUUAAUGUCUGCCCGUUGCCCUCCCUGUUGUGUGAAAAAUGGUGGGAGCUAAUGAGCCCUUGAAUGACUCUGGCCAUCUCAGAACACUGAUGUAUUGGUUGUCUAAGAGCCUUCUUCCUACGUGUAGCAAUAAUGAAGCUACAUAAAUGGAAAGUCCUGAAACUUCGAAAUUCUUUUUCUGGAGAAGUAGCUUCACACAGCACAUUUAAAGCACAACUGAAUUUUUCUUUUCAUGGCUGCUUUUUUAACAUGGAAAAUUUAUAUUUUCUGUAAUACUGAUUCCUAAUUAAUAUCUUAGCACCAAGUUCAGCAUAUUAAAGGCAGGACUGGUAUAUAAACAAAACCUGAGUGGCUCUGUGAUAGAAUAGGAGUGAGCAGACUUGAGAUCUUCCCUAGAGCUGAGGGAAACCAGGAAGGGGCAACGGUAGCAGCAAUUCAUGUGGUUUACUCUAGUGGCCAAAAGCAUUGAAAAGGUGUUAGCCCUGCUGCUCUGGCUAGACGCCAGUGAAGUAUUUAUAAGAUGCUGCCUCUGAUUCCUUCUAUGACUGUAAAAGUUUGGGGGAGAAGGGGACCUUUCUUUCCAGGCCUCAUUCCUUGCCUCUUGAGCAGUGCUGUGAUGUGUCCGGGGAAGCAGCUAUCCUUAUUUCACCUCUGAAGCUGUUUCACCUCAAAGAGGCUAUGAUUUCCCCUAAUGCAAUAGCUGGCCAUUCUCUUGCUGAAUGUGGAAAGUACUUUGGAAUCCUAUGGCAAGAAAGCAACUAAAGACAAUUUGAAGUCACAACUGUCCACAUCAUGUGAAAAUCAACACUCUUUUCCAAACCAGCAGCUAGAACAAGAAGUUGACUUGAGGAUGUUGACUCAAUACUGAUGGGUAAUUUUAGGACCUUUUCUAGGGAUACCUCCUGUCUUAGUCCAUUCAAGCUGCUAGGACAAAAUACUAUAGACUGGUGACUUAUAAAUAACAAACAGUUAUUGCUGAGUUCUGCAGUCUGGGUAGUCUAAGAUCAAGGUUCUAGUAGACCCAGAGUCUGGUGAGGUCUUACUUUCUUGUUCAUAGAUGGUUCUAUGUCUUCUCACUGUAUCCUCACAUGGUAGAAGGGGUGAGAGAGCUUACUGAGGUCUCUUUUAUAAGGGCAUUAAUCUCAUUCAUGAGGGCUACAUUCUCAUAACCUAAUCACCUCGCCAGAGCCCCACCUCCUAAUACCGUCACAGUAAUGAUUAAGUUUCAACAUAUGAAUUUUGUGGGGACACAAACAUUCCAUCUAUAGUACCUUCACAUGCAAACUAUUUCCAAAAUAAGACUUUCUGUGUGUGCAUGGGGACUUACCACAGUUCAUAAGAAGCAGUAUGAGCUGUUGGGCAUAAACAGAGCUUUCUUU
rnacentral:lncRNA from 10 species